UACAGAGGGUGCGAGCGUUGUUCGGAAUUACUGGGCGUAAAGCGUGCGCAGGCGGUUUUGUAAGUCAGAUGUGAAAUCCCCGGGCUUAACCUGGGAAUGGCAUUUGGGACUGCAAGGCUUGAGUGCGGCAGAGGAGACUGGAAUUCCUGGUGUAGCAGUGAAAUGCGUAGAUAUCAGGAGGAACACCGAUGGCGAAGGCAGGUCUCUGGGCUGACACUGACGCUCAUGCACGAAAGCGUGGGGAGCAAACAGG
rnacentral:rRNA from 1 species